ensembl:snRNA U6 U6 spliceosomal RNA
AUGCUCACUUCAGCAAUACAUAUAAUAAAAUUGGAACUAUAGAGAAGAUUAGCAUGGCCCCUUGUGCAAGGAUGACAUGCAAAUCCAUGAAGCGUUCCGUAUUUGU